rnacentral:lncRNA from 1 species
CCACCGCCUGAUAUUACCCAACAUUUAAAUACUUCUCUAUAAAAUUCAGGGAUAUGUUUGAUAUAAUCCAGAAUUUUCUUCUUUUCAAAAUUCAUCUUAAAAAUUAACCAAUUAAUACCAACCACGCUGAGAUAUUUUAAUGGAAUCAACUUCCAGUUUGAAAUAUCAUUACUAAUGAGUUUACUUACCCAAGAUGCUUUUAGAGACAUAAAAUAACUUUGUAUGUCGAUCAUUUGUAACCCCCCUUCUUCGUUUGACUUUAU